rnacentral:tRNA from 1 species
GGCCCCUCGAUCUAGAGCAUCUGACUUUUAAUCAGGUGGUCGCAGGUUCGAUCCCUGCACGGCCACCA